rnacentral:rRNA from 1 species
UACGUAGGGGGCAAGCGUUAUCCGGAUUUACUGGGUGUAAAGGGAGCGUAGGUGGCAAGGCAAGUCAGAUGUGAAAACCCGGGGCCCAACCACGGGAGUGCAUUGGAAACUGGCGAGCUGGAGUGCCGGAGAGGUAAGCGGAAUUCCUAGUGUAGCGGUGAAAUGCGUAGAUAUUAGGAGGAACACCAGUGGCGAAGGCGGCUUACUGGACGGCAACUGACGCUGAGGCUCGAAAGCGUGGGGAGCAAACAGG